ACGGAAGGCAGCAGUGGGGAAUAUUGCACAAUGGGGGAAACCCUGAUGCAGCAACGCCGCGUGAGUGAUGACGGUCUUCGGAUUGUAAAGCUCUGUCUUCAGGGACGAUAAUGACGGUACCUGAGGAGGAAGCCACGGCUAACUACGUGCCAGCAGCCGCGGUAAUACGUAGGUGGCAAGCGUUGUCCGGAUUUACUGGGCGUAAAGGGAGCGUAGGCGGAUUUUUAAGUGGGAUGUGAAAUACCCGGGCUUAACCUGGGUGCUGCAUUCCAAACUGGAAGUCUAGAGUACAGGAGGGGAAAGCGGAAUUCCUAGUGUAGCGGUGAAAUGCGUAGAGAUUAGGAAGAACACCAGUGGCGAAGGCGGCUUACUGGGCUUUAACUGACGCUGAGGCUCGAAAGCGUGGGGAGCAAACAGGAUUAGAUACCCUGGUA
rnacentral:rRNA from 1 species